rnacentral:rRNA from 1 species
CCUACGGGGGGCAGCAGUGGGGAAUUUUGGACAAUGGGCGCAAGCCUGAUCCAGCCAUGCCGCGUGAGUGAAGAAGGCCUUCGGGUUGUAAAGCUCUUUCGGCCGGAACGAAAUCGUCCGGGCUAAUACCUCGGAUGGAUGACGGUACUGGAAGAAGAAGCACCGGCUAACUACGUGCCAGCAGCCGCGGUAAUACGUAGGGUGCGGACGUUAAGCGGAAUUACUGGGCGUAAAGCGUGCACUGGCGUGUGAAAUCCCCGGGCUUAACCUGGGAACUGCGGUUGAAACUGGGAGGCUGGAGUGCGGCAGAGGGGGGUGGAAUUCCACGUGUAGCAGUGAAAUGCGUAGAUAUGUGGAGGAACACCGAUGGCGAAGGCAGCCCCCUGGGCCUGCACUGACGCUCAUGCACGAAAGCGUGGGGAGCAAACAGGAUUAGAUACCCUUGUAGUC